CCUACGGGAGGCAGCAGUGAGGAAUAUUGGUCAAUGGCCGGAAGGCUGACCCAGCCAAGCCGCGUGAAGGACGAAGGUGCCAAGCAUUGUAAACUUCUUUUGUCAAGGGACAAAAUCAGGCUCGAGAGCCUGACCGCGGGUACUUGAAGAAAAAGCAUCGGCUAACUCCGUGCCAGCAGCCUCGGUAAUACGGAGGAUGCGAGCGUUAUCCGGAUUUAUUGGGUUUAAAGGGUGCGUAGGCGGACUGUUAAGUCAGCGGUAAAAGCCCGGGGCUCAACCCCGGCGAGCCGUUGAAAAUGGCUGUCUUGAGAUGUCGAGAGGUAUGCGGAAUGCGCAGUGUAGCGGUGAAAUGCGUAGAUAUUGCGCAGAACUCCGAUUGCGAAGGCAGCAUACCGGCGGCGAUCUGACGCUGAGGCACGAAAGCGUGGGUAUCGAACAGGAUUAGAUACCCCGGUAGUC
rnacentral:rRNA from 1 species